UACGUAGGGUGCUAGCGUUGUUCGGAAUCAUUGGGCGUAAAGCGCGUGUAGGCGGUCUAGUAAGUCGAGUGUGAAAUCCCUGGGCUUAACCUGGGAAUGGCAUACGUGACUGGUUCACUAGAAUAUGGCAGAGGGAGGUAGAAUUCCACAUGUAGCAGUGAAAUGCGUAGAUAUGUGGAGGAACACCGAUGGCGAAGGCAGCCUCCUGGGUCAAUAUUGACGCUCAUGCACGAAAGCGUGGGGAGCAAACAGG
rnacentral:rRNA from 1 species